rnacentral:rRNA from 2 species
UCAUGAUUUACAUUUGAGUGAGUGGCGAACUGGUGAGUAACACGUGGGAAACCUGCCCAGAAGCGGGGGAUAACACCUGGAAACAGAUGCUAAUACCGCAUAACAACUUGGACCGCAUGGUCUGAGCUUGAAAGAUGGCUUCGGCUAUCACUUUUGGAUGGUCCCGCGGCGUAUUAGCUAGAUGGUGGGGUAACGGCUCACCAUGGCAAUGAUACGUAGCCGACCUGAGAGGGUAAUCGGCCACAUUGGGACUGAGACACGGCCCAAACUCCUACGGGAGGCAGCAGUAGGGAAUCUUCCACAAUGGACGAAAGUCUGAUGGAGCAACGCCGCGUGAGUGAAGAAGGGUUUCGGCUCGUAAAACUCUGUUGUUAAAGAAGAACAUAUCUGAGAGUAACUGUUCAGGUAUUGACGGUAUUUAACCAGAAAGCCACGGCUAACUACGUGCCAGCAGCCGCGGUAAUACGUAGGUGGCAAGCGUUGUCCGGAUUUAUUGGGCGUAAAGCGAGCGCAGGCGGUUUUUUAAGUCUGAUGUGAAAGCCUUCGGCUCAACCGAAGAAGUGCAUCGGAAACUGGGAAACUUGAGUGCAGAAGAGGACAGUGGAACUCCAUGUGUAGCGGUGAAAUGCGUAGAUAUAUGGAAGAACACCAGUGGCGAAGGCGGCUGUCUGGUCUGUAACUGACGCUGAGGCUCGAAAGUAUGGGUAGCAAACAGGAUUAGAUACCCUGGUAGUCCAUACCGUAAACGAUGAAUGCUAAGUGUUGGAGGGUUUCCGCCCUUCAGUGCUGCAGCUAACGCAUUAAGCAUUCCGCCUGGGGAGUACGGCCGCAAGGCUGAAACUCAAAGGAAUUGACGGGGGCCCGCACAAGCGGUGGAGCAUGUGGUUUAAUUCGAAGCUACGCGAAGAACCUUACCAGGUCUUGACAUACUAUGCAAAUCUAAGAGAUUAGACGUUCCCUUCGGGGACAUGGAUACAGGUGGUGCAUGGUUGUCGUCAGCUCGUGUCGUGAGAUGUUGGGUUAAGUCCCGCAACGAGCGCAACCCUUAUUAUCAGUUGCCAGCAUUAAGUUGGGCACUCUGGUGAGACUGCCGGUGACAAACCGGAGGAAGGUGGGGAUGACGUCAAAUCAUCAUGCCCCUUAUGACCUGGGCUACACACGUGCUACAAUGGAUGGUACAACGAGUUGCGAACUCGCGAGAGUAAGCUAAUCUCUUAAAGCCAUUCUCAGUUCGGAUUGUAGGCUGCAACUCGCCUACAUGAAGUCGGAAUCGCUAGUAAUCGCGGAUCAGCAUGCCGCGGUGAAUACGUUCCCGGGCCUUGUACACACCGCCCGUCACACCAUGAGAGUUUGUAACA